UAAAAUAAUGAUGACAGGCCCACUUGAGAGCUUCGGUUCUCUAGAGGGAAGUCUCUAAACCUCUGUGCACUGUAAUAGUAUCGGGUCUAGGUAGAGCAGUCUCUCGGGACAGCAAAGCUUAGGCCCAAAAACGGUUUCGACCGUACAAACAACUUUUUAAUUUUGACUGACUUUUGUUUCUAACGAAUCAAAAA
rnacentral:misc_RNA from 1 species